rnacentral:rRNA from 1 species
AUGGCAUUCACUGAGAGCAGGGAAUUCAAGCAGGCUUUGGUUAAAUAUGGGCUAGUUAAUUUCCACCACCUAAGAUUCCCUAAAGAUGAGAAGAAGAGGGUCAGUGCACAGUGCUCUUGGCCUGGAUGUCCUUGGAGCAUCUAUGGCUCAAUUAGCAGCAGGUCUGAUUGGCUACAAGUUGUGAGGUACAACAAUGAGCACACAUGCAUUCCUAGGAGGGACAACAAGCUGGUUACUAGCAUAGUUAUUGCAAAAAAAUAUUUCAGGCAGAUUAGGGACAAUCCUACUUGGAGGGUGGAGAAAAUGCAAGAGGAGUACUUGAGGAUUUGCUAG